AACGAACGCUGGCGGCAUGCCUAACACAUGCAAGUCGAACGAAGCCUUCGGGCUUAGUGGCGCACGGGUGCGUAACGCGUGGGAAUCUGCACUUUGGUUCGGAAUAACAGUUGGAAACGACUGCUACUACCGGAUGAUGACGAAAGUCCACAGAUUUAUAGCCAGAGGAUGAGCCCGCGUAGGAUUAGCAAGGUGGUGUGGUAAAGGCGCACCAAGGCGACGAACCUUAGCUGGUCUGAGAGGAUGAUCAGCCACACUGGGACUGAGACACGGCGCAGACUCCUACGGGCGGCAGCAUUGGUGACUAUUGAUCACUGGGCGAAAGCCUUAUCCGGCAAUGCCGCGUGAGUGAUGAAGGCCCUAGGGUUGUAAAGCUCUUUUACCCGGGAUGAUUUUGACGGUACCGGGACAAUAAGCCCCGGCUAACUCCGUGCCAGCCGCCGCAGUUA
rnacentral:rRNA from 1 species